rnacentral:lncRNA from 1 species
CAGAGGGUUAACACACGCAAGAUACGCACAAAUGCUUAUUCGCAGCAGGAGAAGGAAAGGAGCAUCAUACAUCUUCAGCAGUUUUAGGAUCUUUUUUUGUGUUUUACUGAAUACAUCAUAUCUACAGUUUAAUCGCCGAUCCAUACUUUGUCGACGGGAAAUACCUCAUAACAAACUGACACCAGGCAGGGUCAAAGUGGAAACAUGGCGAUCAGGUGUUAUUAUGAAAACAAGGUGCCCUUAUACAUCAUUCUUGUGAACUACUGUUGUGUUCUUGCCGUUUCGAAAGUCGGCUCUUUUGAUUAUGUUUACUGGCCUUUAAAUGGAAGUGAAGAAGACAUUGGGUGAGUAUCAUUGAUGUUAUUAGUAAAUAUAAACCCAAUCUGCCGAUUG